GGGGGGUGUAUAUGUGUGUGUGUGUGCGAUAAAAAGAAGGGCGGGGCUUUCUGUGAAGACAGGCGGGAGAUCCGACCAAUGGGAACAAAAGAGAGCGAGGCUGGGAUUGGAGCUCAUCGCCAAUUCCAGGACGCGAGUGGAGGAGCCGCUGUGUGCUUUAACCUCUGCGGCGGGGGCGGCGGCGGGGCGGGUGUGUGUGGGGGCUGGCUCCUGCCCUGGGAGGGUCCCCGCCGUGAUGCGGCGUCACCUGGGUUACACGCUGCGCCUCGCAGGCCCGCAGCUGCGUGGGAGGACGGCCGAGAUUGCUCGUGGAGGCGGUGGGAUAGCGGUGACACGUCCUCGCCGGGGCUGGCUGCACCACUUGCGCGACGCGACACGGCCGGUGUGGCUGCAGCCCUCCGUCCAUCCGUUCGCCCGUCCAUCCCCGCCGGCCGCCGCGGGGGACGGGCGGGGGACAGCGCUGCCGCUCCGCGCCGGGAGCCUCCGACGCGCCGGGCUGCAUCGCGCAGGCUUGUAGAGGAAAUAAUAAAGAUAUUAUUGUUAUGCUGUGACAGCCGGUCUAGCUGGAGCUGUGCGACACAGAGCCGCGUUUCUUACCUAAGUAUUUCGCAGAGAAAUCAAAGAUGUUUUGCUGCGGUGAAGGUUAUUUCUGCGUACAAAUCUGAAAUUAUUCAGGUGGAAGCUUAAAACGUUUUAAGAUGUGGGGGAGGGGGGAGGCAGGGCUCAGGGGAUUGUCUGCGCACCAGAAAAGCAUGCUAUUUAUUGACUCGUUGAAUUGCCUUUGAAGAAAUUUUUCAAACCGCUGUAACCGUGGAGGCAGUGGUCAGCACUGGAGCAUCAACUCUGUACAAAAUUUAGGCACAUGUGUUUAUUGCGUUACACCAUGCUCUGUGCUAAAUUCGUAUUGCUACGUGUGUGUGCAGCGUGGCUGCUGACUCGAUUCCUCCUAAUGCGCGAGCUGAAAACCUGGCUGUUUGUGGAUGAAAUCCAAUUUCCAUUCUGAGCUCCCUGGGAGAUAGCCUUAGUUUUAGUAAUCACUUACCAUUAAUACUGCCCCAAACAAUUUUUAGUACUUAAAAUGCAGAUUUCGUGUAUAAUAUAUCGUAUAGCUCAUCACCUCUGCUUAAAAAUUACAAGACAGGAAUGUAAUUCAUUAUAGGAUAUUAAACUGUGCACAUGUUAACAUCUAAACAGGCUCCUGCCCAAAUGCAUUCACAAAUUAAGAACUCAAUCAAGCACCGUACAUGGGAAACUUUCAAUGAAUUCUUUGGGAAUUGUGUCCCAGGAAUGUGAUAUCCAGCUUCCUCGCCAGCAGAUGAAAUAGAUGCAGCUGAUUCAGUAACAAUUUGAUAACAUAUAUGGUCAGAAAAAUGAUUGUAUAAAUAGGGAACCUUCUUACUCAUCAGGUACCCUUUGUAUCUAAGAUACUCUGACUCAUAAUUGCUUAGUUUACUGACUGAAAUAAAAUUUUAGGCUUCUGUUACCUUGACAGUUGCUGACACAAUUACGGUACAGCAAACUGGGGACUGGUUCUAGCUCUUGCAUUUUCUUUACUAAGUUUCAGGUGAAAAAUUUUAUUAAUAUUUGAGUCAGAAAGAGCACCGCACGACUUGUAAAUCUCAGGUCCAGUUUGUAGGGUCAUCAGUCCUAAAAGGCCUCUUUUUAUUUGUGAACUAAGCAAAUGACUUACAGAAAAUUUUGAAGACAAAAAUAAAAACCACGAUGUUUGAAUUAAGCCAUCUUGAGUCAAUUUCCGCAGUGGAACUGGAUAAAUUAUAACACUGCUCUCUUUAUGUCACUGAAUAUGUCCCAUUCAUUUGAAGCAACAUUGAAUCAAAUAAUUCUCUGAUUUUUAGACCACAUCUGUUUUACUGUGCCCCCUGCACCAAUUUUAAUUAUGUGACAGAUCUGAUUGGAUUCAGCACCUGCAAGUCCUCCCUUUGGGAUCUCCAAUUAGCUUAUAAAACGUUUACUUGAUUGCAUUCUUCAAACAAAAGUAUUGUUUCAUGGUAACAGCAGGAAUAUUAAAGUGUAGAAUGAAAAAGGUUUUAACAUGAUAAGCAGCGUGUAUGUUGUUUGUGUAUCUAGCUUCCAUAAGCUUAGAGGAAAAAAUAGUAAUCCUGAAACCUAAUUUCCUCAGACUCAGCAGAUGUCUGUCCUGCCUUAGCCUGUUUCUUUACUAACAGCUGUUUCACAAGUGCCUCCCCUAGUCUCUACAGAAUGCCUUUUGUUUAAUAUUUCCCCUCUACUUUAUCUCCCAUCCCACUUAGACAAGCUUUUUUAAGUUUUCUGGUACUUUAUGUAGGUAUUUUGUAGUUUAAUAGACAGGCUCAUCUUUGAAGAAGUUAGCUAAAACCAUAUAACUAACCUCUCAGCUAGCGUCUCAGUAACAGCUCUACUUAACUAAGCAAAUAGCUGCAUGUAACAAACAUUUCAACAAAUGUUGAUUUAAUAUUAAGAAAACUAUUAAUUAUUACAGAUAUGCUUCAGAAUACACUUUUUUCUCCUUAUUUGACUGGUUGGAGCAGUGAUACUGGAGGUCUAGGGGGGAAUAUCACACAAAGUGCAGCCCUCUAGUGGCAGAGGUCACGGGGAGUUUAAAGCAAACUGGGUCUUUGUUAUGGGUGGGGGCAAUGAAAGAAACAGCUUUUAGCAAAAUGCAGGCAACUGUCCUGCGUCGUUCAUGGUCUGAAGCACAAGCAAAAAGAGUUGUGAAGGCCUGUAAUGCAACCUUGCCCCCACUCUGUUGUAAUAUCUACGCAGAAAGUACCGAUGGAAAAUAUUAAAAGGUCUGAGUUUUCCUCUAUUUCCAAAUCUGUAAUCUGUUGUUCAUCUUUUCUGUUUCCAGCCAGCAGAUUGGCAUACCUGACCAGAUGCUUUUCAAGCAGCUGUGGGGUCUUGAUUCCUUCAGUCAUGUCCUACCAGAUGAGCUUCAAGCUAUUUCCUCUACAGAAGAAAAAAAUCAUAUGUUGAAACAGUAAAAAUAAAAUUACUGCAGAACUGAGUCAUUGCGAGAUGAAUACCCACAAAAAAAACUUACCAAAUCGCAAAAAAAACACCCAGAAACAAGAUCAUUGUGCAUUAGAAACAAUGCUUUCAGAUUCAUCAUGGCUCACAACAAAGGUAUUUAUAAGUGGACCUCCUGCCUCUGUCACAUGCUGUCAUUGCUUUGGAUUGACUGCUGUUAGAUCCCCGUAAUCCCAAACCCCGGGAUCUUGUCCUACAUAUCUCCCCCACUUGUUAGGCAUGUCAGUAACUAUUUAAAAUGCAAAUGAACUCUAAUCUUUGUAUGUGUUAAUAGCAAAGGGUUUUAAUCUCCUAAACCCCAUAUUUACCAAGAUAUUUUGGGUUUUUGUAAUAAAGGUUAUAAAAAGAUGUAUUCAGUCAUAUAGCUUGUAUUUACUAGUUUAACCACUUAUGUUUGGUUAAUGCUUGGCAUUUCUUAACUCAACAGAGUGUCAUGACAAUAUUAUGGAACAUGUUCAUGGAUGAUGAGAAGAAUUGAUUUGUGAGAUUAUGUUGUUAUGUAAAUGUUAUGCAGAGAUUAAAAGUCAAAUGUUGCCCAAUUAAGGAAAUGUUCAUUGAAACUAUCAUAUCCCAUUCCACAUGAAAACUCUUUGAUGCCAACAGAUUAAAAUUAGUGUACUUCAUUUGAAGGGGAUAAGAAAAAGUCACCAGUAUAGCUGACUUCUAGUCCUCACUUGCAGUUCCUUGUACCCGGUACAAAUCUUGCAUCAUGUAGGAUCUUUGUGAAAACCACUCCUAUUUUCAUAUUAUGAUUGUUAUUAAUAAAUAUUUCCAUUGUCCAACUGCUCCUUGGAACUUGGUUCCGUGAUCACUUCCCUAGGAAGCCUGUUCCACUGAAUGAUCACCCUCUCAGUGAAGAACCUUUUCUUAAUGUCUAGUCUGAGGUUCCCCUGAUGGAGCUUCAUUCCAUUUCCUCGUGUCACCAGAGAGAGCAGAUCAGCACCUUCCCCUCUACUGGUCCUCUUGAGGAAGUUGAAGACUGCAAAGAGGUCUUCAAGCUCCAACAAACCAAGUAACCUUGGCUGUUUCUCCUUGCAUUUCACCAUCUUGGUCAACCUUCUCUGAACGCACUCUAAUAGUUUGAUGUCCUUCUUUCAUUGAGGAUAAUAAUAUAAAAGCGAAAUCACUAGAGCAAUUUGUACAGUGCCAUGAUAUGAUAAGGAUGUUUUUUUCUUAAAAUCUUAGUGGAGCAGCUAACUCCACUUGGAUAGACCCUAAUCCCUAGCAUAAUUUCACUGCCAUCAGUAGAGUGUCAUUAGGGAAAUGGAUCUUCCACUUACAGAAAUGUGUUUUAAAUUUAUAAAAAAAUUUAAAUUUAGUCUAGUAAAAGUAGUUUCAACACAUUCCAGUCUACUUUAUUGAUUUCAAGCUUACUCCUAGAACUAAAGGUGAUGCGAUGAAUAUGUGGGACAUCUGAAUCAGUAAAAAAUCCCAGUUUUAAUAUCUGUCAUCCAGCGUGGCAGAUUAUUUCCCAAGUUCAGACAACUAAUUGGUAAACUAAGAAUGCAUUACACAUAAGAAAGUGCGCACAACAGAUGAUAUUCUUUUAUUAGAACAUUAUAGUUUUAAUCUAACAUCAUACACAAUCAGUAAAGCUAAAUUCUUAAUGCAACACAUGCAAGAGUUAAAAUGCUUAAAGUGAAAAUAUCUUGGCUUAGUUGCAUAUAUUUUUCAUUUUAAAGUAAAUGCAUUAACAGAAAUAGGACUAUAAAAAGUUGUACUUUAAAGUUUAGCUAAGUGUAAAUAGCAAUAGAAUUGUAUUUUCAGCAUACUGUUUAAUGUAAACUCUCCCUGCCCCUCCCCUCAAAUUAUUUUAUUGUACUCUUUUAAGAAUUUAACAUUUUACGAAGGUGAAACAUUUGGUACGACUUUUAACAAUUUAAGAAAAACCACAAAAGAUGAUCAUUCUAGAAAAUGGAUGUUAAGCUUUUUUCCAGUUUUUAGUGUCUAGGUGUACUACUGAUAAUUUAGGCAGUAACCACAUGAAGUUCAGCCAAAUUCAAAGACAUUAUUCUGUAUCAAUGCCUAAAAGAUAUUGUUCAGUUAUGCAAAUGCCCAUUCACCUGAGUAGUCUUUAUUCAUAUAGAUUAUUGUGUUCAACACAAUUUUUACAAGCAUUCAAAACAGUGGGCUGCAAAAAGAGUAUCUUCUCUCUUGUUUUUGCAAAAUUUUCUACACAGAAAAAUAUUCCAAAGAAAGUAUCCAAAAUUGAUUAUUAUGUACAGCAAUAAAUGUCUGUAAAAUAUUUUGGUGUCUGUGUUCCUAUUUCUACAGAAACAUACAUUAUUGUUAAUCAGUAUAAUCUGAAAUUCCAUGUUUCUUGAAAUACUGGUUUGUUGACCAGAUCUCUUAUACUUAGAUCAAUAUAAUUUUGCAAAUGUAUAGAAAAUACUGAUACCUCAAACUUUUGUAUAUGUCAGCUCAGGCUGAAAAUAUUGUGUUAACUAUCUUUUGGACUGUGUGGGUAAAUUAUUCAUCAUUACAUUGUCUUACUGUAGAGUCACUGGAUUGCACUAUCUCCAAAGAUCAUGUGUUACGUAAAAAUGGUUGAAAGCCAUUUCUCUCAUCAUUACAAUGUCACAUUAGUGAAAGAAGACAGUCAGCAUUUCACGAACAUUUUAUUUCUUUACAGCCUCUAAGAUUUCCCAGGAGAAUAAGUCAUAUAAUCAAACAAAAAUGGUUGGUGUGAUCAAUUCUGCAACACUGCAUUACAUUCUCUGGGAAGUCGUUUAUGAAAGAAUCAACUGUGUUCAUGUUAUUCAGUGUCAUCUACAUACCUCAGUAAAACAUAUGAUGACAGCAGGCAUUGGUCAUGGAAGUUUGAACUUUUUUUUAAUGUGAUUGUUUUCAAUAUUCAGUUUGAUGAAAUGAAUAUUUUGUGUAUGUCUAGUCAUCUGAGAAUGAAGUUGAAAAUUGUAAUUAUGAAAAUAGAUAAAUAUUUCACCCGUAUUUGGUGAAUUUCAAAGUUUUGUUAAUAUCUAAGAUUUGAAUUUAUUUAAAUGUUAAAAACCUGUAAAAUAAAAGAAAAAUAGAUUAUGUAUUAAAAUACAAGUAUGUGCAUAUAUAUGUGUUCAUACCUGUGUACACACAAAUAAAGCACAUGCAUAUGAAUGAUGUA